CGCCUGGGGAGUACGGCCGCAAGGUUAAAACUCAAAUGAAUUGACGGGGACCCGCACAAGUAGUGGAGCAUGUGGUUUAAUUCGAAGAUACGCGCAGAACCUUACCAACACUUGACAUGUUUGUGCGACUUAAGAGAUUAGGUCUUCGGUUCGCCGGACAAAACACAGGUGCUGCAUGGCUGUCGUCAGCUCGUGUCGUGAGAUGUUGGGUUAAGUCCCGCAACGAGCGCAACCCUCACUUUUAGUUACCAUCAUUUAUUGGGUACUCUGAAAGAACUGCCAGUGAUAAGCUGGAGGAAGGUGGGGAUGACGUCAAGUCCUCAUGGCCCUUACGGGCUGGGCUACACACGUGCUACAAUGGCGGUGACAGUGGGCUGCUACCUUGCGAAAGGAAGCUAAUCCCAAAAAACCGUCUCAGUUCGGAUUGUUCUCUGCAACUCGAGAGCAUGAAGUUGGAAUCGCUAGUAAUCGUGGAUCAGGUGCCACGGUGAAUACGUUCUCGGGCCUUGAACACACCGCCCGUC
rnacentral:rRNA from 1 species